AUUAGAUUUCGUUUAGCCACUAAAUUCUUAAGGGUAAUUACUUCAGGCUCGAUUGGUUCGCCCUAUAGUUCAGUAGAAAGUUAUGUAAAUAAACAAAAAACUAAAAAUUUAAACUAAGCCGAGAAGUACUCACGCAAAAAACGAAUAAACGCAAACAACGGUUGUCAUCUGGGAAAAACGUAUCGAUAAAACCGGUUGAACACCCCUCGUCGGCGAACCGUUCGGCGAGUAAACAACAACCGAACCCUCGCAGGCAGACAACGUGACGCCUGCGGUGUCAAAACGUCACUCCAAUUUCCGCCUUUCGUCAGUCACAGAGCAGUCAAAACCACUUCGCAUCACAGUUCACUGCGCCGACUAGUUCCCCGGGAAAUCGUUGUGAGAUAGAAAAUCGUCGGGAAAAAACAUUCGUCCGAGGACGAAAUCUGCCGCGACGAGCAGAUAACAAAACGGAACCGACAAGCGGUGGAACGCGGUCGCGAAUGUGCGCUGGGCGAAGAAAAUCGGCCAUUGAAGGGCGAUUGCUACCGACGGUUACGGGAACACGUACAGAUACACGUGCCGUGGGGGCAAAUCGUGAACCAACGAGAAGCUCGGUGCAACGGGCACAGUUCUCGAUCUUUGCCACCGAUCGACAAGACGAAAUCGGGGAGAAACCGGGAGCCUGAUCUGUUCCAGAAUACGUGAGUCAUGCGUGCCGGAAAGCAAAUAGGCACAUUCAACAAUUUUAUUCCGUCUAGCAGAUAUCCCCACCCGGAGGUUACCGACGACAUCGAACAAGUGCUGGUGCAUUCCAGUCGCCUCAUUUGCGCCUCGACUAGACUGAGAAGAAGAAGGGAUCGGCCAAACCGUUAUUUUUCUUAUGACCAACAAACCGUACGCAAUUAAACAACGAUCCUUUUGUACCAGGAUCCCUUCUUUUGUUGAUCCACAAUUCACUCCGGUAGCCGGUAAUCCCAGUGGCGGAACGGAAUCGAUAGCUGAACGGCUCGCCGGUGGCCGACGAAGGUUAGUGGCGGAACGAAAUUGACGACAGGACGGUUUGCCGGUGGCCGACAAAGAUCGGUGGCGGAACGGAAUCGACAGCCGGAGGGUUCGCAGGGGCCGACGAAGAUUAGUAGCGGAAUGGAAUCGCCGACUGGACGGCCUGUCUGUGGCCGACGAAGAACAGCAGCGGAAUCAUAGGAAGAGCAGCUCCGAUGCAGUCGAAUCGGAUGGCGCCGACAAGACCAGAAGAAGCUGGCACUAGUCAUCGCCGGCGCACCAAGGUGUUCGGGGGCCCCCAAGAGAAUGUUUGCGUGAGUACUAACAUUAGCAUGUAAGAUCAUGAGAAGAGCCAGGGGGAAGUAGUACCCAAUGUAAUAAACAUCGAGUCAAAUAAAGCCGCUUUUGUUCAUGUAUGUGGCUUGAGUUUGUGGCAAUUUUGGGCAUAUGUUGACAGCUAGCCGGAGUGUGUCAAGCUCUGAUUUUUGAGCUAAGACUAAUUUA